rnacentral:rRNA from 1 species
ACGAACGCUGGCGGCGUGCCUAAUACAUGCAAGUAGAACGCUGAAGAGAGGAGCUUGCUCUUCUUGGAUGAGUUGCGAACGGGUGAGUAACGCGUAGGUAACCUGCCUUGUAGCGGGGGAUAACUAUUGGAAACGAUAGCUAAUACCGCAUAACAAUGGAUGACACAUGUCAUUUAUUUGAAAGGGGCAAUUGCUCCACUACAAGAUGGACCUGCGUUGUAUUAGCUAGUAGGUGAGGUAACGGCUCACCUAGGCGACGAUACAUAGCCGACCUGAGAGGGUGAUCGGCCACACUGGGACUGAGACACGGCCCAGACUCCUACGGGAGGCAGCAGUAGGGAAUCUUCGGCAAUGGGGGCAACCCUGACCGAGCAACGCCGCGUGAGUGAAGAAGGUUUUCGGAUCGUAAAGCUCUGUUGUAAGUCAAGAACGAGUGUGAGAGUGGAAAAUUCACACUGUGACGGUAGCUUACCAGAAAGGGACGGCUAACUACGUGCCAGCAGCCGCGGUAAUACGUAGGUCCCGAGCGUUGUCCGGAUUUAUUGGGCGUAAAGCGAGCGCAGGCGGUUUGAUAAGUCUGAAGUUAAAGGCUGUGGCUCAACCAUAGUUCGCUUUGGAAACUGUCAAACUUGAGUGCAGAAGGGGAGAGUGGAAUUCCAUGUGUAGCGGUGAAAUGCGUAGAUAUAUGGAGGAACACCGGUGGCGAAAGCGGCUCUCUGGUCUGUAACUGACGCUGAGGCUCGAAAGCGUGGGGAGCGAACAGGAUUAGAUACCCUGGUAGUCCACGCCGUAAACGAUGAGUGCUAGGUGUUGGAUCCUUUCCGGGAUUCAGUGCUGAAGCUAACGCAUUAAGCACUCCGACUGGGGAGUACGACCGCAAGGUUGAAACUCAAAGGAAUUGACGGGGGCCCGCACAAGCGGUGGAGCAUGUGGUUUAAUUCGAAGCAACGCGAAGAACCUUACCAGGUCUUGACAUCCCGAUGCUAUUUCUAGAGAUAGAAAGUUACUUCGGUACAUCGGUGACAGGUGGUGCAUGGUUGUCGUCAGCUCGUGUCGUGAGAUGUUGGGUUAAGUCCCGCAACGAGCGCAACCCCUAUUGUUAGUUGCCAUCAUUCAGUUGGGCACUCUAGCGAGACUGCCGGUAAUAAACCGGAGGAAGGUGGGGAUGACGUCAAAUCAUCAUGCCCCUUAUGACCUGGGCUACACACGUGCUACAAUGGUUGGUACAACGAGUUGCGAGUCGGUGACGGCAAGCUAAUCUCUUAAAGCCAAUCUCAGUUCGGAUUGUAGGCUGCAACUCGCCUACAUGAAGUCGGAAUCGCUAGUAAUCGCGGAUCAGCACGCCGCGGUGAAUACGUUCCCGGGCCUUGUACACACCGCCCGUCACACCACGAGAGUUUGUAACACCCGAAGUCGGUGAGGUAACCUUUUGGAGCCAGCCGCCUAAGGUGGGAUAGAUGAUUGGGGUG